GAGAGAUUUAUUUUAGUUCCAAGCUUCUCAAUGUUUUCACUAUAUUCAGUUUCAGGCAUAUUAAAAAAAUAAAUAAAGUGUAGAUGUGGUCAACAGAUUUAAUUUCAUUAGCAACUUGAAUUCAAAAAAGAACCGAACACACCCAAAGCUGAUUUGAAAGAGCUCGGGGCAAAACUGGAGAAACUGGAAAAUCCAACACACACAGCCUCCUGGUAGAAGGUACUUAUUUACCUGGGUUGGAUCAGAGUCUACAGCCUCCUGGUAGAAGGUAGACUUAUUUACCUGGGUUGGAUCAGAGUCUACAGCCUCCUGGUAGAAGGUAGACUUAUUUACCUGGGUUGGAUCAGAGUUCUCCACAGCCUCCUGGUGGAAGGUACUUAAUUACCUGGGUUGGAUCAGAGUUCUCCACAGCCUCCAGGUAGAAGGUAGACUUAUUUACCUGGGUUGGAUCAGAGUCUACAGCCUCCUGGUAGAAGGUACUUAUUUACCUGGGUUGGAUCAGAGUUCUCCACAGCCUCCUGGUGGAAGGUACUUAUUUACCUGGGUUGGAUCAGAGUUCUCCACAGCCUCCUGGUGGAAGGUACUUAUUUACCUGGGUUGGAUCAGAGUUCUCCACAGCCUCCUGGUAGAAGGUAGACUCAUUUACCUGGGUUGGAUCAGUCUACAGCCUCCUGGUAGAAGGUAGACUCAUUUACCUGGGUUGGAUCAGUCUACAGCCUCCUGGUAGAAGGUACUUAUUUACCUGGGUUGGAUCAGAGUUCUCCACAGCCUCCUGGUGGAAGGUACUUAUUUACCUGGGUUGGAUCAGAGUUCUCCACAGCCUCCUGGUGGAAGGUACUUAUUUACCUGGGUUGGAUCAGAGUUCUCCACAGCCUCCUGGUGGAAGGUACUUAUUUACCUGGGUUGGAUCAGAGUUCUCCACAGCCUCCUGGUGGAAGGUACUUAUUUACCUGGGUUGGAUCAGAGUUCUCCACAGCCUCCUGGUGGAAGGUAGACUUAUUUACCUGGGUUGGAUCAGAGUUCUCCACAGCCUCCUGGUGGAAGGUACUUAAUUACCUGGGUUGGAUCAGAGUUCUCCACAGCCUCCUGGUAGAAGGUAGACUUAUUUACCUGGGUUGGAUCAGAGUCUACAGCCUCCAGGUAGAAGGUACUUAUUUACCUGGGUUGGAUCAGAGUCUACAGCCUCCUGGUAGAAGGUACUUAUUUACCUGGGUUGGAUCAGAGUCUACAGCCUCCUGGUAGAAGGUACUUAUUUACCUGGGUUGGAUCAGAGUCUACAGCCUCCUGGUAGAAGGUACUUAUUUACCUGGGUUGGAUCAGAGUCUACAGCCUCCUGGUAGAAGGUACUUAUUUACCUGGGUUGGAUCAGAGUUCUCCACAGCCUCCUGGUGGAAGGUACUUAUUUACCUGGGUUGGAUCAGAGUUCUCCACAGCCUCCUGGUAGAAGGUAGACUUAUUUACCUGGGUUGGAUCAGAGUUCUCCACAGCCUCCUGGUAGAAGGUAGACUUAUUUACCUGGGUUGGAUCAGAGUCUACAGCCUCCUGGUAGAAGGUACUUAUUUACCUGGGUUGGAUCAGAGUUCUCCACAGCCUCCUGGUGGAAGGUACUUAUUUACCUGGGUUGGAUCAGAGUCUACAGCCUCCUGGUAGAAGGUACUUAUUUACCUGGGUUGGAUCAGAGUUCUCCACAGCCUCCUGGUGGAAGGUACUUAUUUACCUGGGUUGGAUCAGAGUCUACAGCCUCCUGGUAGAAGGUAGACUUAUUUACCUGGGUUGGAUCAGAGUUCUCUACAGCCUCCUGGUAGAAGGUAGACUUAUUUACCUGGGUUGGAUCAGAGUUCUCCACAGCCUCCUGGUGGAAGGUACUUAUUUACCUGGGUUGGAUCAGAGUUCUCCACAGCCUCCUGGUAGAAGGUAGACUUAUUUACCUGGGUUGGAUCAGAGUUCUCCACAGCCUCCUGGUGGAAGGUACUUAAUUACCUGGGUUGGAUCAGAGUUCUCCACAGCCUCCAGGUAGAAGGUAGACUUAUUUACCUGGGUUGGAUCAGAGUCUACAGCCUCCAGGUAGAAGGUACUUAUUUACCUGGGUUGGAUCAGAGUUCUCCACAGCCUCCUGGUGGAAGGUACUUAUUUACCUGGGUUGGAUCAGAGUUCUCCACAGCCUCCUGGUGGAAGGUACUUAUUUACCUGGGUUGGAUCAGAGUUCUCCACAGCCUCCUGGUAGAAGGUAGACUUAUUUACCUGGGUUGGAUCAGAGUCUACAGCCUCCUGGUAGAAGGUACUUAUUUACCUGG